AAGGGGAGGAACUCUGACCGAGCGACGCCGCGUGAACAAUGAAGUACUUCGGUAUGUAAAGUUCUUUUAUUGAAAAAGAAAAAAUAGUGGAAAAACUAUCUUGACAUUAUUCAAUGAAUAAGCCCCGGCUAAUUAUGUGCCAGCAGCCGCGGUAAUACAUAAGGGGCGAGCGUUAUCCGGAAUUAUUGGGCGUAAAGGGUGCGUAGGCGGUUUGAUAAGUCUAUAGUUUAAAUGCAGUGCUUAACGCUGUAGCGCUAUAGAAACUGUCUGACUAGAGUUAGAUAGAGGCAAGCGGAAUUCCAUGUGUAGCGGUAAAAUGCGUAAAUAUAUGGAGGAACACCAGAGGCGUAGGCGGCUUGCUGGGUCUUAACUGACGCUGAGGCACGAAAGCGUGGGGAGCAAACAGGAUUAGAUACCCUGGUAGUCCACGCCGUAAACGAUGAGUACUAAGUGUCGGGUUUCGACUCGGUACUGAAGUUAACACAUUAAGUACUCCGCCUGAGUAGUACGUACGCAAGUAUGAAACUUAAAGGAAUUGACGGGACCCCGCACAAGCGGUGGAUCAUGUUGUUUAAUUCGAAGAUACACGAAAAACCUUACCAGGUCUUGACAUAAUUUUGCGACAUUAUAGAAAUAUAAUGAAGGUUAUCAGAAUUACAGGUGGUGCAUGGUUGUCGUCAGCUCGUGUCGUGAGAUGUUAGGUUAAGUCCUAAAACGAGCGCAACCCUUGUCGUUAGUUGCGACCACGUAAUGGUGAGCACUUUAGCGAGACUGCCAAUGAAAAAUUGGAGGAAGGUGAGGAUUACGUCAAAUCAUCAUGCCCCUUAUGAUCUGGGCUACAAACGUGAUACAAUGGCUGUUACAAGAAGA
rnacentral:rRNA from 1 species